AUCGAUGCCAGGCCAAUAGGACAAUCGAUACAAGCUAAAUUUUCUUUCACUGAUAAAUCUGAAUUGUUAAUGACUUCGCAACACGCGGUUAUAAUACGUAAAACAAAGAGAAAGCUGCAGUUGUGCUUUAGCUGUUAACCUGAUUGGUGCUCUCAGUGGCGUAGCCAUGCCAGCUGCUCCUGCUAUACAAAUAUUUCUGUGUUCUUAGACUGUAAAAACAAUUAAAUUCUAAAGAAAUGAAUAAUGAUAAUGCUUUGAAAUUUACAAGAACAAGAAAACAGUGUGUUAAGAAAAUUCGCAAAUUCGGUGAGUAAAAUUACAAAAACUGUACUUCUCAUCUUAAUUAUCAGCCGAAAAUCAUCUCGAUAAUGCAUGGAUCCAACUGUGCAUGAUAGCUAUAUAUACAAAUGUACAAUAACCGUAUAUCUUUUUAAAGAGUUAGUGCGUCGUAUAAUAAACAAUAGUG